GUUUGAUCAUGGCUCAGAUUGAACGCUGGCGGCAGGCUUAACACAUGCAAGUCGAGCGGGGGAAGGUAGCUUGCUACUGGACCUAGCGGCGGACGGGUGAGUAAUGCUUAGGAAUCUGCCUAUUAGUGGGGGACAACAUCUCGAAAGGGAUGCUAAUACCGCAUACGUCCUACGGGAGAAAGCAGGGGAUCUUCGGACCUUGCGCUAAUAGAUGAGCCUAAGUCGGAUUAGCUAGUUGGUGGGGUAAAGGCCUACCAAGGCGACGAUCUGUAGCG
rnacentral:rRNA from 1 species